rnacentral:rRNA from 1 species
AACGAACGCUGGCGGCAUGCCUAACACAUGCAAGUCGAACGAGAUCUUCGGGUCUAGUGGCGCACGGGUGCGUAACGCGUGGGAAUCUGCCCUUUGGUUCGGAAUAACAGUUGGAAACGACUGCUAAUACCGGAUGAUGACGAAAGUCCAAAGAUUUAUCGCCAGAGGAUGAGCCCGCGUAGGAUUAGCUAGUUGGUGUGGUAAAGGCGCACCAAGGCGACGGUCCUUAGCUGGUCUGAGAGGAUGAUCAGCCACACUGGGACUGAGACACGGCCCAGACUCCUACGGGAGGCAGCAGUGGGGAAUAUUGGACAAUGGGCGAAAGCCUGAUCCAGCAAUGCCGCGUGAGUGAUGAAGGCCUUAGGGUUGUAAAGCUCUUUUACCCGGGAUGAUAAUGACAGUACCGGGAGAAUAAGCUCCGGCCAACUCCGUGCCAGCAGCCGCCGCAG